UCUCAGUUAGUAUAUUGGCUAGUAUCCCCGCCUGUCAUUCAGCAGUCCGCGGGAGAGCCGGGUUCGAUUCCCGGACUGAGAG